CAGGACGAACGCUGGCGGCGCGCCUAACACAUGCAAGUCGAACGAGCGAGAGAGAGCUUGCUUUCUCGAGCGAGUGGCGAACGGGUGAGUAACGCGUGGGGAACCUGCCCCCUAAGUCUGGGAUACCAUUUGGAAACAGGUGCUAAUACCGGAUAAUAAAGCAGAUCGCAUGAUCAGCUUUUGAAAGGCGGCGUAAGCUGUCGCUAAGGGAUGGCCCCGCGGUGCAUUAGCUAGUUGGUAAGGUAACGGCUUACCAAGGCGACGAUCAGUAGCCGGCUUGAGAGAGUGAACGGCCACAUUGGGACUGAGACACGGCCCAAACUCCUACGGGAGGCAGCAGUGGGGAAUAUUGCACAAUGGGGGAAACCCUGAUGCAGCGACGCCGCGUGAGUGAAGAAGUAUUUCGGUAUGUAAAGCUCUAUCAGCAGGGAAGAUAAUGACGGUACCUGACUAAGAAGCCCCGGCUAACUACGUG
rnacentral:rRNA from 1 species